GACUAUGCAGUUCUCUUUAGAUCUAGAUAAGCUUGUGUAGAUGGAAGAAAUAGAAUUUUCGCAUUGAGAUGCGGCACUAACGUGGUAGUCCAAGUAUUUUUGCUGCAUAUUGGGCCCCACCAGUGAGUUGUGGUGAUGAACUACAAAGACGUUACAAUAGAAUAGAAUAUGACCUCUGAGUACUAACUUAAGGUUGGUGAAUAUGUAUUUAUUGUAUAUCAUUGAGAUUCUGAAAAUAAAUUUUAUCAAGUAUUUUAUCAAGCAGAUUUUAUUAUUGGGUGUGGUCUAUGACAAGAAGCUUAAUAUGGAAAUGUAUGGUGAAAAUAAUAUUUUCAAACUUUUAACAUGAUUUUGUUCAUCGAUCCACAUUAGCUACAGUUCGUACAAAUGAAAAAUUUAUAUUGCUGCAUUUGGGUGUUUCUGUCUUAUCAACCAAACUAUUUCAAUGGACUUCAAUGGAUGUAAAAACAAAAAUGUUGGAAAAUAGAAAAAGUUGAACUAAUAUUUAUGCAAAUUCGCUUUAUCGCCAAAAAACAUAAGCGCCUUGAGCACAUAAAUUAUGCAAAUCCGCUGUUACAAAUUUAAAGUUAUGUGCGAAGUGCGGAGUCCUUCGGAGUUUCGGAAGGAGUUUCAGUGGAAAUGUUAUUUUUAUAAUUUAUACGGAUUUAAAUGAUAGUUGUGGGGAAAUCAUAGAAACCAGGACAUAUCGAAAGGAUUUUUGUUAAAAACACGAACAGUGAUUGAUAAAAGGUUUUAAAAAAAUUUUUACUACUCGAAACAAAGAUUUGUAUUAAGUGCCUUACUAAAAAUUUCGUAAUUUCAAAAGUAAACGCUUGUGUUUUAGAUAACAUCAAAUUUUGUCUUAAUAUUAUAUAUUCUUUGAAUCAUGCCAUUAGGUAUGAAAGACAAUAUCCCAUGGAGCAUACGGGUACUGAAUAUUUUUGAGUUAAUAUUUAAUGGCUUAUUGUCUCAUACCUAGCAAUAACUCUGACAUUAAUUGACUCAUAUUCAUUUUCAAAACAUCGAGAGUUGGAGGAUUGUUCACAUAAACGGAAUCGUUUGAAUAAACCCAGAGAAAAAGUAAAAUAGUCAUAAAUCGGAUAAUCUUAAUGGUUAAUUCAGAUCAUCAAAAUAAGAAACUGUGGUCCAGGACCUGAUCUGUGUCUUAUGACUUAUCAACAUCACUUAUAAGUUAUAACUUAUAACUUCUACAUCCAUGUCAUUAAAACACUUAUCAUGCGGAUGUGUAUAUGAAUAUACGAUUACUUUAAUGAAAGUUUUGCUUGAUAUGUGUUAUUGAAACAAUGUUGCUAGAUCAGGAUUGAAUAACCUGUUACAUUG